UACGUAGGGACCGAGCGUUGUCCGGAUUCAUUGGGCGUAAAGAGCUCGUAGGCGGCUGUUCAAGUCGAACGUGAAAACUCGGAGCUCAACUCCGAGCCUGCGUUCGAUACUGGACGGCUAGAGUCUGGUAGGGGGAUCGUGGAAUUCCUGGUGUAGCGGUGGAAUGCGCAGAUAUCAGGAGGAACACCGGUGGCGAAGGCGGGAUCCUGGGCCAGCACUGACGCUCAUGCACGAAAGCGUGGGGAGCAAACAGG
rnacentral:rRNA from 1 species